AAAACAGCCCUUUUUAGGGCUAAAAAACAAUAUUUAAAGAGUUGGAU
rfam:Phlebotomus papatasi Contig44673.1, whole genome shotgun sequence.